rnacentral:snoRNA from 1 species
AACCCAUGGUGAGGGCACCUUCUUAGUAAGUCCUUGUAUCUCUCUCAUGCAUCGUAAAGUGUUUCUAAAUCCAUCUGCACAAAA